UUCGCUUUCAUCUCUCUAUCUCUCUCUCCCUAACCCCGCAGUUUAACAAUAAUAUAACAAAGCAGCAGCAUUUUUCCUUUUAUUUGCAACAGGAUCUUGUUUUGCUCAGUGGUGUUCAGUGCGCUCAAAUUUAAUAAUAAUUGAAAUUAUUUAAAAUUCCGGAUAAGUGCCUCCUAAAUAAGCGAAAACAAAACUAGGGAAACUUCGUUUGGGUAUAUCUUUGCCUUCAAAAGAAACCCCCAACAACACUAUCGUUCUUCAAAAAUGCCUUCGUUUCCGGUUGUUCCGGUUUUUAGGACUGAUCGGCUUCUUGGUCGGCGUAUAUGUAUGAUAAAAUUACCGUGGCAUCUCACGGAACUGGGAGAUAAAUAGCGUAUUUCGGCAUUUGUCACCGAAGGAAUCAACUAAGAUGCACAGCUCGACAAGUGGCCCGGAAGAAGCAUCCAUGAUAAUUGUUCAGAUAUUUAACCUCAGGCGACCACAUAGAAUUAAAUUGUAAUGAAAUAAAAAGCAAUAAACUAAGGCGCCUACGA